rnacentral:rRNA from 1 species
UGCCAGCAGCCGCGGUAAUACAGAGGGUGCAAGCGUUAAUCGGACUGACUGGGCGUAAAGGGUGCGUAGGCGGACCUUUAAGUCAGAUGUGAAAGCCCCGGGCUCAACCUGGGACGGCCAUCUGAUACUGUGGGUCUAGAGUAAGGUAGAGGGUCGUGGAAUUUCCAGAGUAGCGGUGAAAUGCGUAGAUACUGGAAGGAACAUCGAUGGCGAAGGCAACGACCUGGGCCUUUACUGACGCUGAGGCACGAAAGCGUGGGGAGCAAACAGGAUUAGAUA